UAGUACGUGCGUAUUAUCUCCGCGUCAGAUUUUCCGCGAUCGCCGGCGUGAUCUGGCUGUAACGUGCACUUUCGAGACUGGCAUCAACGUUUGAACGCGUUCCAAAUAGAGUUGUAGUUGCUGACUGCUCCCAAUAAAACGAAACACACGAUAACUUACCUACCUACGUUGUUUCAAGUUUCGCAGUACCAAAAUUUAGUCGCCGAAUGAAUGGCAAAGAAUCGCGUUGGUUUCUCACCGGUGUUAUAAAUCGCGCGAACGUAUGAAAAUUCAAUAGUAGCGGAAGAGGAUUCGGCGGCGCAAAACGCAAAAGGACAAUGCGGAGAACACGCGGAGCGGAACGGAAGCGCACACGUUCGGCCAUGUACCACGAGAAACGACGGAGGAGAACGUUCGAGAGUAAUACGGAAAAUGUAUUUCGCGAAGGACGGUGAGAGGGAGAGACGUGGCCGCUCCAUCGUGCUGCGGCACUACUGCUGCCGUUGCACAGCGACGCUAUAUAACGGACAAGCCGUUUCACGCUACGUUUACCAUUUUAUUUUAUUUCGAAAGACGGCGGCAACAGUUACGUCUAGGAAGCGUCCUCAGCCGCGAAAGACAUCCCCGCCAAGCACGUUUUAUUAUCUUGAAAGCUAUUUUGCCGUCUGCCUACUCGCUAAUAGGAUUGUCAUCUCGCGUGCCUUUUGCUGGACUACGAUAGCGGAUAGUUCCAAUUCUCGGUAUCGCGAACCGUCGACUACAAUUCAAGAUAUUCCAGGUCGCGCCCACCAACUUCGAGUCUCAUUAUAAGCUUUCGGUCCUGGAACGCACCUUCGUGGCAAAAGGGAGAAUAAACUGUGGAAAAACAGAACGGCCUGGAAAAAAGAACAAUCCGAAGACAGUAAUGAUUGCUCCCUUUGUUGCGUCCUGUAAAUUACUACCGUAUGGACAGCCGCGAAGAAAGACCGGACCUAAAAGAGAAAGGACAUCCAGAAUUCAAAGCACGACUUCUAAACUUUUUCGAUGGCUCAAUUUCGCGAGGAGACUCGACGCGCCCUGGCCACGCCCGCCUCGCUCGCGCGACAAUUCCGCCCUACGCCCUCUUUGUCUCCGAAGAGAAGAACGAAGGAUACGGGUUAAUGUCGCCGGGCUGAAGAAGAAACGGAAAAAAAGCAAGAAACUUGCCGGCCAAUUCGCGGACGUGCCGUAGACUCUAAUAUGUUUCGUAUAUCCUACUUGGCCGUUUGUUCUCUCCUUCCCGUACCGCGAAAAAAGAACAAAAGACAUAGAGAGUUGAGGCUCGAAGGGUGGAGCAGCAGAAGAGGAGGAGCUCGAGGUGCUGUGCCAGCAUGUUUCACUGUAGCACUCGAACCCGAUCCCACUUUCAUAAGUUCUCUAAGUUUUGCGGCAGCUAGUAUCUAAUAGUCGGCUUUUCUCUUCCAUUCCCUCUUUCUUUCUCGCAGUUAUACCUUUCCUUACUAAUGUUAACGCUUUCUCACACUUCCUUUCACAAUUUCUAUCCUUUUUUCCACAUUUAAAAUAAUUAAUUCAACAAAAGUCACGUAGAUUUCCAUUAUGGA